rfam:Ailuropoda melanoleuca scaffold233_52, whole genome shotgun sequence.
GUCUACGGCCAUACCAUCCUGAAUGCGCCCGAUAGCGUCUGGUCUCAGAAGCUAAGCAGGGCUGGGCCCAGUUAGUACUUGGAUGGGAGAAUAAAACAUCAUAAUUG